GAUGAACGCUGGCGGCGUGCCUAAUACAUGCAAGUCGAGCGAACAGACGAGGAGCUUGCUCCUCUGACGUUAGCGGCGGACGGGUGAGUAACACGUGGAUAACCUACCUAUAAGACUGGGAUAACUUCGGGAAACCGGAGCUAAUACCGGAUAAUAUAUUGAACCGCAUGGUUCAAUAGUGAAAGACGGUUUUGCUGUCACUUAUAGAUGGAUCCGCGCCGCAUUAGCUAGUUGGUAAGGUAACGGCUUACCAAGGCAACGAUGCGUAGCCGACCUGAGAGGGUGAUCGGCCACACUGGAACUGAGACAAGGUCCAGACUCCUACGGGAGGCAGCAGUAGGGAAUCUUCCGCAAUGGGCGAAAGCCUGACGGAGCAACGCCGCGUGAGUGAUGAAGGUCUUCGGAUCGUAAAACUCUGUUAUUAGGGAAGAACAAAUGUGUAAGUAACUAUGCACGUCUUGACGGUACCUAAUCAGAAAGCCACGGCUAACUACGUG
rnacentral:rRNA from 1 species